rnacentral:lncRNA from 1 species
CUCCAGGUUGGUAAUGGGCUACCAUAUCCUCCAGGUUGGUAAUGGGCUACCAUAUCCUCCAGGUUGGUAAUGGGCUACCAUAUCCUCCAGGUUGGUAAUGGGCUACCAUAUCCUCCAGGUUGGUAUCAUAUCCUCCAGGUUGGUAAUGGGCUACCAUAUCCUCCAGGUUGGUACCAUAUCCUCCAGGUUGGUAAUGGGCUACCAUAUCCUCCAGGUUGGUAAUGGGCUACCAUAUCCUCCAGGUUGGUAAUGGGCUAUCAUAUCCUCCAGGUUGGUAAUGGGCUACCAUAUCCUCCAGGUUGGUAAUGGGCUACCAUAUCCUCCAGGUUGGUAAUGGGCUACCAUAUCCUCCAGGUUGGUAAUGGGCUACCAUAUCCUCCAGGUUGGUAAUGGGCUAC